rnacentral:rRNA from 1 species
GGUUGAGAUCAUACCAGCACUAAUGCAUUGGAUCUCAUCAUAACUCCGCAGUUAAGCGUGCUUGGGCGAGAGUAGUACUAGGAUGGGUGACCCCCUGGGAAGUCCUCGUGUUGCAACCCC